rnacentral:lncRNA from 1 species
CAUUUUUAUUUUUAUUUUUUAUAAUUCUUUAUUUUUGUGUGCACAUGUUUUACAUAGCAUCUUUCAAUGCCCCAACAGCACUGAUCAGGCAGUUAAUUAGACAUUUACAAGUUACAAGGCAUUUGAGUAUUCUGCACAUUUUUUGUUUGUUAAGCAAGGUAGAUUACAAGCUAAGUGAAGCUAGAGUUAGUUAACAGUAGGUACACUCAGCAGAUGGCAUUCAGAGAGAUAUUGCAGCUGAGGUCUGACAGAUGAGCCUAAACUGAGUGUGAAAAAAUAAAAAUAAAAUAAAGAUAACACAUGAAAGUCCUAUUUAGCAUUGAUCUGAUCAGCAAAGUAUAGCGCUGCCGAAAAUCUAGAUCUACACCGAAGAAAGACAGUGUUAUUUAUGAGAGGAGUGAUAGCAGGUCAUAGAAGAUAAAGACAGGAGGCUUAUGCUGCAUAGAUGGUAUUAUUUACGCUAAACAGUCAGGAUCGAUUGUCCACCGAGUUACCGCUCCGUACCAGUACACUGCUUGUAAGUGAUAGUCCCCUCACCCCUGCACAUCUCUAUGCAAAAUGUAUACUGUAUGUCUGGCUGACCGUGUAGCUGACCAAGAGAGAGCAGGGGGAGGACAGUCCUUAGCUGGAGUGAUGAAUGCUUGCUUGUGUAGGUAUGCGUCGGCAGACACAGGUGGGGUGUCGCUGUUGAUUCUGUGUGGAAUCGUUCAUGAGUCAGACUGAGCAUUAGGCUGGAAUCAGAAAUGCCAAGUGCUAGGUUCCACUGAGUUCUCACCGGAGGGAUCAUGCUGUCUUCUGCAUGGUGUUACUGAGCUGCUUAUGCAGUAGGCUUGCUGUGUCUAGUGGCUCACCCUUCUCCAGCCCGAUGUUGCUGUGAACGGAGGCUUGAUGAGCGGGCUGGUCUGGUAUACUCUACUC